GGGAUAGUGUACCUAAUCAGACUGCCAAGAAAACCUGCUAAGCGUUUUAAUGAAAAAGUAACCCGUACCGCAAACCGACACAGGUAGUCAAGGAGAGUAUCCUGAGGCGCUCGAGUGAAUCACGGCCAAGGAACUCGGCAAAAUGGUCCUGUAACUUCGGGAGAAGGGACGCUUCCUCCAGUGAUGGAGAAGCCGCAGUGAAAAGGCCCAGGCGACUGUUUAACAAAAACACAUGACUUUGCGAACGCGCAAGCGGAAGUAUAAGGUCUGACACCUGCCCGGUGCCGGAAGGUUAAGAGGG
rnacentral:rRNA from 11 species